rnacentral:rRNA from 1 species
AACGAACGCUGGCGGCAUGCCUAACACAUGCAAGUCGAACGAGACCUCCGGGUCUGGUGGCGCAUGGGUGUGUAACGCGUGGGAACCUUCCCUUAUGCAUGGAAUAACUCUCCGAAAUGGGUGCUAAUACCGGAUAACUUCCUCGGACACAAGAUAUGUCGCCUUUGGAUGGGCCCGCGUUGGUUUAGCUUGUUGGUAGGGUAAAAGCCUACCAAGGCUACGAUCCUUAGCUGGUAUGAGAGGAUGGGCAGCCACACUGGGGGUGGGACACGGCCCGGAAUACUAGGGGAUGGGGGAGAGGGGAAUAUAGGAAUAUCGGGGGGGGGAUGAAGCAGCUAGGCCGGGUGAGUGAUGAAGGCGUUAGAGUUGUACAGCUCUUUUACACGGGAUGAUAAUGACGGUACCGGGAGAAUAAGCACCGGCUAACUCCGUG